rnacentral:rRNA from 1 species
UGGGGAAUAUUGCACAAUGGGCGCAAGCCUGAUGCAGCCAUACCGCGUGUGUGAAGAAGGCCUUAGGGUUGUAAAGCACUUUCAGCAGUGAGGAAAGGCGUGUAGUUAAUACCUGCAUGCUGUGACGUUAACUGCAGAAGAAGCACCGGCUAAUUCCGUGCCAGCAGCCGCGGUAAUACGGAAGGUGCAAGCGUUAAUCGGAAUUACUGGGCGUAAAGCGCGCGUAGGUGGAUUGGUCAGUCAGAUGUGAAAGCCCCGGGCUCAACCUGGGAACUGCACCUGAUACUGCCAAUCUAGAGUACGGUAGAGGGUAGUGGAAUUUCCUGUGUAGCGGUGAAAUGCGUAGAUAU